AUGCAUAUGCAUGAUACAAGUAGUGAUUCUCAGACAUCCAGAAUAUCUCAGUCAGCUUGGCGUAACACACAGCCAGGACGGAUGGUUUUGAGCCCUCUGAACCAUGCUCAUCAAGCCAUGUGGGUCCUCCACAGAUCGGAAGGCUUCCUGGGACAGGGAAAGUUCUGCAGCAAUCUUCAGUUGUUCAACCCUAGUAUCAAGGUACAACUAACAACUUUCAGGGGCAGUCGGAUCAGGACGAUCUCGAGAUUUGUUCAGAUUUGCGAGAUGGUUUCUGAUCAUGUCACACAGCCUACGGAACUCGGUAGAUCUUUUGUACUGCUUGCAGAACUGAAAGGCAUUGUGCGCAGCCAUGGCAUACAACGCUUCAAGCUUGGAGUUAUUCCUCAGCAGUCAGCACCUCCAGCACCGUCCUGUACGUCUCCCACGGAAACUUGA
rnacentral:rRNA from 1 species